UACGAAGGGGGCUAGCGUUGUUCGGAAUUACUGGGCGUAAAGCGCACGUAGGCGGGUCGUUAAGUCAGGGGUGAAAUCCCGGAGCUCAACUCCGGAACUGCCUUUGAUACUGGCAGACUAGAGUACGGUAGAGGGUGGCGGAACUCCGGGUGUAGCGGUGAAAUUCGUAGAUAUUCGCAAGAACACCAGUGGCGAAGGCGGCUCACUGGCCCGGUACUGACGCUGAGGCACGAAAGCGUGGGGAGCAAACAGG
rnacentral:rRNA from 1 species